AUUGAACGCUGGCGGCAGGCUUAACACAUGCAAGUCGAGCGGAGAUGAGGUGCUUGCACCUUAUCUUAGCGGCGGACGGGUGAGUAAUGCUUAGGAAUCUGCCUAUUAGUGGGGGACAACAUUCCGAAAGGAAUGCUAAUACCGCAUACGCCCUACGGGGGAAAGCAGGGGAUCUUCGGACCUUGCGCUCAUAGAUGAGCCUAAGUCGGAUUAGCUAGUUGGUGGGGUAAAGGCCUACCAAGGCGACGAUCGGUAGCGGGUCUGAGAGGAUGAUCCGCCACACUGGGACUGAGACACGGCCCAGACUCCUACGGGAGGCAGCAGUGGGGAAUAUUGGACAAUGGGCGGAAGCCUGAUCCAGCCAUGCCGCGUGUGUGAAGAAGGCCUUUUGGUUGUAAAGCACUUUAAGCGAGGAGGAGGCUACCUGGAUUAAUACUCUAGGAUAGUGGACGUUACUCGCAGAAUAAGCACCGGCUAACUCUGUGCCAGCCGCCGCGGUAAUAC
rnacentral:rRNA from 1 species